rnacentral:lncRNA from 1 species
CCCCUUUGAAUGUAAACACAAAGUAUUUUUGAACAAAGAAGUAGACAACAAGACAGAAUUUUGUCCCGAUCAUUAUUCGAAGGAAAAAUAGAAGAAAGAAGAGCAAUCGAGUAUUGACUUAGGACACCCUACCUACCCAAGUUAUGAGGGAAUCAAGUGACAGGAUUCUCAAAGGAUUGAAAGGAGAUGGACUUUACCGAGUUGAAGAGUCGAGUGAGGUCCCGAUGAGGUUCCAGUCCGCGCAUCUGUUAUUACAUCAUAAAUAAAAGUUACAAGUUAAAACAUAAAUAAAAUUACAAAAUCAUAUCUAUGCAGUUAGUUUCUUUUGGACUCUUAACUUGAGUUUCAUCACUCUAUUCUUCAGGCGGGCUCCUGACUUGCAAUUUCAUCACUUGUUGCUUGGUUUUCAAUCUCUUCACCCUGUUCUUCAGGCGGGUUCCUAACUUGCUAUUUUUUCAAUCUGUUGACUUUAAAUUUCUUCACCUUGUUGCUUGACUUUCAACUUCUUCACCUUGUUACUUGACUUUCAACUUUUUCACCAUGUUGCUUGACUUUUCAUUUAUUCACCCUGCUCUUCAGGCGGGCUCCUGAAAUCACAUCAAUACUAAAAAGAAAAAUUAUCCCAAACAAAGAUUAUUAUAAAGAGAUUUCAUUUGUCAGGAAAGCGAAGUUCCAAACACAGGAUUUAAAUUUUCCCCAGUUUCUCAUCAAAGGACUUUUGGGAAAGUCACAUCAUUAUAGGAAUCAAAGGGAAUGACUAGACUAAAAGGAACAUCUUAUAAGAAUCAAAGGGAAUGACUCAACUAAAAGGUACGUCUUCUAGGAAUCAAGGGAUAUGACUCGACUAAAAGGUACUUCUUAUAGGAAUCAAGGGGCAAGGGGAAUGACUUGACUAAGUCUAAUGACUCGACUAGGGAAUGACUAGACUAAAAGGAACAUCUUAUAAGAAUCAAAGGGAAUGACUCAACUAAAAUGUACGUCUUAUAGGAAUCAAGGGGAAUGACUUGACUAAAAGGUACGUCUUUUAGGAAUCAAAUGACUCGACUAAAGGCACAUCAUCUAGGAAUCAAGGGGAAUGACUAGACUAAAAGGUACGUCUUCUAGGAAUCAAAGGUAAUGACUCGACUAAAAGGUACGUCAUCUAGGAAUCAAGGGGAAUGACUCGACUAAAAGGUACGUUUUCUAGGGGUCAAGGGGAACGAUUCAACUAAAAGGUACGUCUUCUAGGGGUCAAAGGGAAUGACUCGACUAAAAGGUACAUUUUAUAGGAAUCAAGGGGAAUGACUCGACUAAAAGGUACGUCUUCUAGGGGUCAAGAGGAAUGACUCGACUAAAAGGUACGUCUUCUAGGAAUCAAAUUAAAUAACUCGACUAAAAGGUACGCCUUAUAGGAAUCAAGGAGAAUGACUCGACUAAAAGGUACGUCUUCUAGGGGUCAAGGGAAAAGACUCGACUAAAAGAUAUGUCUUAUAGGAAUUAAAGAAGAUGACUCGAAUAAAAGGUACGUCUCAUAGGAGUGAAGGUUCAAUUUAAGAAGUGUAUCACCUAGCAAAUGAAAACUAAAAUCCCUGGACAAGAAAGUGUCUCCGAGGGAUAUAGGAUGAUGAUUUUUUACAAUGACUUGAUUAUUAAACCUGUCCAACAACAUUGUUUCCUGCAUUUGUAGGAGUGAGGCAUUGCAGACCUUGAUAUUUAUGUUCCGAAUUCCUUGAUUUAAAGGUAAUAUGUUUCCUAUUUCAUCAAAAAAAACUUGUGAGUUAAAAAAUAUGGUGGCUGGCUUGUGGCUUUAGCUUUUGCGACAAUCGCUCUUGCCCCAGUCACAUUUAACCUUGCUUCCAACCAUUAGCAUAUGUCAUUGACUUGUUGAAUCAGUGAUCCAAACUCAUAUUAGGAAGAGUGACUCUGCCACAAACACAGUAUCUCUGCUUUGCCAUGUUUCUCAGUUAAACCCUUUGAACUAUGGUAUUUCCGUGGGUUCCCAGACUUGUCUAUUGACAAAACUUUCUAUAUGUCCUUUUUUCAGCUCACAAUUAUAUCUCUUUCAUGCGCUGGCCUUUUUGUCUUGCUUUGUACAAUUGAAGAAGUUGGUAGCCAAUUUUAAAAUCUUUUCUCACUUGUUUCGACAUGGACUAGACUCAAAGACAAGAGCGAAAAUGACCAUGAUUUUUUAUUUGGAUAACUGACUCAAGAAAAAUAAAAUAAAAAUAAAACAAAGAGAAGAAAGAAAAGACAAUGAAUGUACCCAUUAAAAAAAAUAAUGAAAAAUGUAUCUAAAAAUGACAGUUAACUCUAUUGAUUAUGCCAUGCAUUUUGGAUUAAGUUGCCUGAUCUUUCAUCUAAACCUUCUACUAAUUGUUGUUGAGUUAAUGACCUUGAAACUGAAUUGCUUCCUUGGGCCAAUUUGCAUUCAAAAAUCUCAUUUGGCUAGUGGCACCUUGAAGGGUUUUCGCCAACAAGCCUCUCUCAUCUUCUUUUCCUCAACUCACCAUAGUCUUAUGGUGUCUGUAAGAGUUUUCACCAACGAGACUCUCUUAUCUUCGUUUCUCUCAACUCAUAGUCGUCUUACGAUGCCCAUGAGAGUUUUCACCGAUAAGAAUCUCUCAUUUUUAUUGCUCUCUUGAUUUCUUAUGCCGAGGAAGACAAGUGGUUCCCAAAUGCAUCAUCAUAUCCCUUGCAUGCUUAGCCUUAACAUCCUCAAAGAUUGAUCCGAAGGUCUUUCUUUGGUUGUAACUUGGCUUUUGGAUAGGGUUAGAAAGAAGGGAUGGCAUGGGGCCCAAACGGCACUUAAAGUGGGGUAGGACUUACAAUUUUUAGAAACGACUCAAAUAAUGAGGAUUAACUUAUGCCCCAGUUUUUUACUAGGCAAUUCUAAAUUAUUUAUUUGGUUGGACCAAGCCCUAAGUAGGGCAUCCUACGUAUCUCACCCCCGAGAGAAAAGAAUCGGGUCAUGCGUAGUUCUGGCAACUUGUUUUGCUUGAUUCUGAUUUCAUUUUUCUUUUGACUUCUUUUUUUUUCUUUGUAAUUUUUCUGACUCUAAUUUACUUACUUUUUUUCUUCCUUCUUGGACACAUUUUCCUCUUUUUUUGAAAAAACUUUCUGACUCUACUCUCUUGCUCUAUACUUUUCUUUUGAACUUUAUUGGUUUUAUCUUGAUUCCAAAAAAGGGGUAUGAAAGAAAAUAACACUAAGGCUUAAAUGGGGUAGACAAAGGAUGACACAAUGUUUGAAUAACAGAAUAAAAUGUCUUUGUCAUAUCAAUCCUUGAAAAUGCACGUACAUAUCAUGCAAUAUAAAAGUGAAAGAUGAAGAUCAUUUGACACCUUAAAACCACUAUCUUUAAUUGAACAUGUGUGCUACUUCUUCCUCUACACUUGUCAAACAUAUAACUCCACCUUUGUUGUAUAUCCCUUACAUUGAAUGACUCAUACUUUCGUCGAGUUGAUUUUCUUUAUAUUCCUCUUGAUAGGAUCACGCAGACACUGUUUGACCUAAUCGAGACAUGUCUUUUAAUUGAUGACCAAGUUAUUCUUGUGAUUCUCAAAAUAAUUGCCUUAAUUUUUAGAAAAGGCUUCAACUUGUCACCAAAUAUCUCAGUACUCUACUAUUUUCUUAGAUGUUUCUCCUAACUUUAGCCCUCUGAUUCAAUGUUCAUGCUUAAACUGCAUUUUAAGAUCUGACUGAAAAUUCCGCAGGCAUGUCAUAUUACUAGAAUCAACAUAAAAUAUGUUGUAUAAAGAAAACAAACAAACAACACAUUUGAAACAUAAAAGGAAAGGGACACUUCAUUUAGUUGAAAUAAAAGAUAAAAGGGUUUGAACAUAAACGACGAAGGGACAAACAAGAUAGAUCUCGAACUACAACCCUGAAAUACUUCAAAAAAUAGAAAAGAAAACAAAACAAACUACCAGACCUCUUCCUAGUGGGGAGAUGGGUGACUUCUCAUUUGCUCAGCCUGACAACUUAGCCACUGGUUUGCAUAUCAACAUGACCAGAGCUUCCCUCACUGUCAAUGUUCUGCACCAUAAUCGAUCCAUCUUGAAUCAUCUUUUCAAUUUCCCUUUUCAAAUCUCAACAAUCUUUAAUACUAUGACCCUGAGCAUCAGAAUUAUACGCACAUCAUACAUUAGGGUCAAAAUUUCUUGAACAUCGAUUAAGAGUGCACUUAAGGAGAGGAGUGAUCAUGCUCCAUUGUACCAAUUUCUGAAACAAACUAGCAUACGACUCUCUAAUUGGUGUGAAGUUAUCUCUCGACUUCUGCCUCAUUUCAUCAUUUGGCUUGGAUAAAAAAUCAGGCUUAGAAGGGUUUUGGUAUAUUUGUGAAGUUAGAGGAUGACUCUGAAUUGUUGGUGUUUUCCACUGUGGGUAAGAUGGGGGUUGAUUAUGUGGUUGUGCAUUAUAUACUGAAUAUGGAGGUGGAGGAGCAGAGUAUAAUGGAUUUUAGGAGUGAUUAUGUGGAGCUUGGGCAUGACCUUGGGUUUGAGCCUGAGAGUGGCGACAACGGGGUCUUCUUGACCGUGCCCGCUGUCCAACUACAAUAGAGGAUGCAACUUCCUCAUUCUUUGUCUCCACAAUACUUCCUGAACCCUUUUGAAUUGCUUGAGUUGUCACUUUCAAUGUUGCAAAACUCACAAUGUGACCAGUCUUAAUUCCCUCUUCUAUCAUCUCCCCCAUUUUAAGGACCUCAAUAAAUGACUUGCCUAAUGCAGGUAACAAGUUUUGAUAAUAUAUUUCAUCCUGUGCUUGAAUAAACACCUUUGCUAUUUUGCUUUCUUUCAUUGGCGAUUUUACUCUAACAGCUUGUUCGCGCCAUCUGAUCGCAUACUUUCUGAAACUCUCAGUAUUCUUCUUUUUUAUACUAGUUAGGGAUUUUUCGUCAGAGAUCAACUCCACAUUGUAUUGAAAUUGUUGCACAAAUUCAUUAGCUAGGUUAUCCCAACUAAUCUACUUGUCAAUGUCUUGGUCAACAAACCAUUUCGAAGCUAGGUCUAAAAGACUCCCCCAGAAAUAAUCCUUGAGUAGUUCUUCCUUCCCUCUAGCGCCCCUCAAUUGGUUACAAUAGCGACUCAAAUGUGCCACUGGGUCCCCAUGUCCAUCAUAGUUCUCAAACUUUGGCAUUUUAAAGUCAGGUGGAAAGUUGACACCUGGAAACAUGCAUAAGUCCUUAUAUGAGACACUUUUGUAACCCUCAAGUCCUUGCAAGUUCUUCAUAGCCAGUUCCAAACUUCUCAAUUUUUUGGUCAUUUCCUCUUGUCCUUCUUUCAUAACAAGCUUCUCAGUGUUAGGAGGAAAUUCAAGUGGGUGAGUGUCACUGUAAAGACCAGUCAACUUGAAUGUAGGCUCGAAAGUGUACCGCUGAUCACCAGUAAUAUUCAAUCCAGGCUUUCUUGUAGAGUAGGGAGGCACAACUUGUGGACGAACAUCAAAAGUAGGAGCUUCAGGUGGGGGUGGCACCGCAAAAGCAUGAACAACAGGUGAAGCCGAGUAUGUGGUAGUCUUGGAUUGGGGAGUGAGGAAAUAAACAUUAGAAGUGGUUGGGUAUUGUUGCCCCAAAGUCGAUCCUGAUGCAUGUUGUGGCAUAUCAACAAAAAUGGGAAAUUGUGCAUAUGACACGAGAGGCAAGAUGGAAAGAUAUUCCAGAUUAUCAGUGGGAACUGGAGGAGGAGGUAACCCAUUAGCCCAAGCUCGAUGCAUUCCUAUCAUUUGCUGCCUCAAUUUCCGAAUCACUUCAUUAGCUCCUACAUUCUCACUUCUCAAACUCCCUAUCUGAUAGUGACAACAAACUCGGUAUCCUUGUUAGCCAUAACCUUCUCUAUGACUUGGUGCAAUAUGGAGGACCAGCUAAAAUGCCACAACCCAACCACCUCAAACUAACUGAACAAGAGAUAACAAAUGCGUUAGAGUCUAACACUUUCUCAAAAUCUCCCCUUUUUUUCUUUUUGAAAAGGUCACCGAACCCAAGAAGGCUACCUACGUAUAUCACCCCCUGAGAGAGGAGAAUCAGGUGUGCGUAGUUCAUGAAAUCUUGCCAAAAUGGUCAAAUAAACUCUUUUUCUUUUUCUUGAAACUUUAAAAAUAAAAGGAAAUAACAAAUUGUCAAAAGAAUUGACGAAAAUCUUUUUUGCAUUUUUCGGCUUUAAUAACCUAUACAAAAUGAAACCUAUGAUUACCAAAGAAAAGUCAUUUUGGAUUUUCGAUUUUGAAUUUCAUAUGAAAAUAAAACUUGAAACUAUUAAAGGAAAAUGUUUUUGUAGUUUUCUUUUUAGAGAUGUAUAUAAAACACUUACUUUAAAUAAAGAGUGAAGAAAAUCUUUUAGAAUUUUUCAAAUAAGAUCCCCGAACCAAAAAUAGGUUGCCUACAUAUCUCACAUCCCGAAAGAGGAGAAUCAGGGGUGCGUAGUUCAUCCAGAUUGGAAAAUUAAUGAUUAAAUAAUCGACUAAACCCGGACUUGAGAUACCAGACCACAAACAGAAGAUGAAAAACAUCAAUAAAAUCUUUUUAAGUUUUCAAUUUGACACUUAACCUAAAAAUGACACCAAUAAAUAUGCAAGGAAAAUCUUUUUUGAUAUUUUCGUUAUACGAAAUGUAUAAAACUUCUACCAGUUUUUAAAUUUUUCUUUUAUAAAAGGCUCCUAUUGAAAAAUAAUCUUUUUGAAAUUUUUGAAUUAUGAAUGCAUGCUAAAGGAGACAAAGCAAAAAACUUUCUGAUGUUUUUGAUUUUUGAGAAAUGAGUGCAAAAGGAAAAAAAAUCUUUCUGAAUUUUGAAUUUUGAAAAACAAAAGCCAUAAAGAACUCUGAAAACUAGAAACUCUCUUUUUUUUUCUUUUUGACUCACUAUUCUUUUUUUUUUUUUUUUUUUUACUUCUAACACAUGUUUUCCCCAAAUUAGUCCAUCAAAUGACCAUAUUACCCUCAAAGAUGCAACAAUUAACACGUAGGGAUGCUUUAGAGGCAAGUCUCCUACAAAAGGCCAAGUGGGCCCCUCUAGGUCUUCAAUAUGAUGCAUAUAAACAUGACCUACAAGGUGACCUACGUUGGGGUUCACUAACAAGGCUGUUCGGAGGAGCGUAUAGUCGAUAGUGGCUGCUUUGCUUUCCACCUACUCCAUAACAUCGAUGGCUCCUCCCCUAAAAUAAGGGUGACUCAACUAGAGGUCGUGUACAACACGUGUACUAUGGACUUGUUGCAGAAAGAAUGACUCGGGCUAUGCACAUGAUGCUAGAUAUAAAGCAGCAACACAUAAGAUAAAAUUAUAAACAAAGAGCAUGUAGGCACUCAAAAAAAUAACAAAAAGCAACGCAAAUAUAUGUCUAUACACGUAUAGUGACAAACUAAGCCGAUACAACUCCAAAUUAAGCUUGAAUUCUGAAAAUAGAUCUCCAACGGAGUCGCCAGAGCUGUCACACCCCUUUUUAACUCCAAAAAGAUAUUAUUUUAAAAGUUUGAAAGGGUUUUCGUUAUAAGUGACAAAAGAUAAAAAUUUGCUUCGAAAAGGACCUUUUAUAUUCAAAACUCAGAGUCGCCACUUGGCAUAAUCCGGUGUGCCAAGUCACCUUUGAAAAAUCCUUUUCAAAACGAUUUGACUCAAACUGGUUUGCGAACAGAGAUUUCAGCUAAGGAAUUCUGUUGACCGACGGAAAGGUGUUAGGCACCCCUCGAUCCUGUGGUUUGAACACGGUCGCUUGUUGGAGCGUAUCGGCUAAUUUGACACCACGAAUGUAUAAACCACACAAAAGCACGCAAAACAAUCAAUCAAGCAAAAAAAAUAAAAACAAUCCAAAAUUUGGUGUCCAGUCCAAUUUAUUACAAAUUGAAAUAGAAAAUACUGAAUAAACCUACACUAACCUAUACUAGUCCUAAAUUAAACUCUACCCGAUGCCUUGGGCCUUCAUCACAGACAUCCUCCGUGUACAAAAUACCUCAGGGCAUUCCCCAACGAAUAAACACAAAUACCUCGGGGCAUUCCCCAGCCAAAUGAAUACAUUUUCAAUGCAAGAAGACCACAAUCAUUCAAUAAUAUUUCAAACAUUCCACAAUUUAUAAUCCCUAAAUUUGCCUAUCACCCCUAUUGUUUGCCUAUCGAUUUGACGACCUAAUCUUGAUACUAUUAAGUUCGAUGACAUCAAUGAAUUAAAAUUAGUCCGUAUUCAUUUUUUUACUUUUCAAAUCCCGUCUCACUUUCAUUCUUGAUCAAUUAACCAAUUCCAAUACAGAAUCAACCAAUCAAAACUACGAUAAUCAUAGACGUUCAAACAUACUAUCAAAAAUUAUAUCAUCAAUCAACAUGAACCACGCAACUCACAACAUCACCUCACCAAAUUAAGUAAAACAAAGAGGAGGAGUUGAAGAAUUGGACCUUAGAAGAAGCUUUCAAAAUUGAUGUAUUAUUCCAAUAAAAACCCGGUACAAUCCGCGUCGAGAACCUCGAUUCAUACCUCAAUCACGAACUUGCCAACUCGAUCAAAACCCCAAAACAAUGGAGAAAACCACAAAAAAAAAAAAUCCAAAUCUCAAUUUUCGAACCAAGCUUGAAACGAGUCACGCUAGGUUUGCUAUUUUUGGUGAAGUUCGAACUCGCUGAAGCUCCGAUGGAUCUCGGCAGUCAGCGAAACAAUGUUUUCCCAGUGAGAUUUUGCCAGAGAACUAGAAACGAAAGAGAAUUCGAAGAUUUUGAGGGUGCGGAUGGUCUAAUUCCGGUAAGGGAAUACCGAUUUCGGUGAGAAACUCGCCGGAAAAACCAAACCAGCCGUCCUUUUUCUCAUGUAUUCCCUCUCUCCGAUCGAUUCUCUCCCUUUCUCGAUUUGGAUUGUCUUCUCUCCGAUCUCACGCUCAGAUUUGUCUCUCACUGUGGUUGUGUGUAUGUAUAAUGGUUUUGUGUGAAGGCAGGUGUAUUAAUGGAAUAAACUCAUCAGUGAUGGUGUCUAUAUAUUCCUCUUUCCCGUAUUCUAUAUGUGUAUAUGUUGAAUUGGGAUCUUUUUCUUUAUGGUUACCGUGAUGUUCGUCAAUGGCGUAUAGGUGUGUUCGUGCUAUAUGGGUCUUCUCUAAAAAUGGAAAAAUAUGGUCAGAAUGUUACUGUGGGGACAUCUAUAUUGUUAUCUAUUGUAUUCUUAUGUAUUCGCCUCCCUAUUUCUAUGUGAAGUAUAUGUGUAUAUUGUGAAUUCCAG